CCGUAGGUGAACCUGCGGAAGGAUCAUUACCGAGUGAGGGCCCUCUGGGUCCAACCUCCCACCCGUGUUUAUUUUACCUUGUUGCUUCGGCGGGCCCGCCUUAACUGGCCGCCGGGGGGCUUACGCCCCCGGGCCCGCGCCCGCCGAAGACACCCUCGAACUCUGUCUGAAGAUUGUAGUCUGAGUGAAAAUAUAAAUUAUUUAAAACUUUCAACAACGGAUCUCUUGGUUCCGGCAUCGAUGAAGAACGCAGCGAAAUGCGAUACGUAAUGUGAAUUGCAAAUUCAGUGAAUCAUCGAGUCUUUGAACGCACAUUGCGCCCCCUGGUAUUCCGGGGGGCAUGCCUGUCCGAGCGUCAUUGCUGCCCUCAAGCACGGCUUGUGUGUUGGGCCCCGUCCUCCGAUCCCGGGGGACGGGCCCGAAAGGCAGCGGCGGCACCGCGUCCGGUCCUCGAGCGUAUGGGGCUUUGUCACCCGCUCUGUAGGCCCGGCCGGCGCUUGCCGAUCAACCCAAAUUUUUAUCCAGGUUGACCUCGGAUCAGGUAGGGAUACCCGCUGAACUUAAGCAUAUCAAU
rnacentral:rRNA from 1 species